UCAUGGCCCUCUGAUUGGCCACUUUGUGAAAAUAGGCUGCUGGACGAGAUGGGUUUUUUGUUUGAUCCAGCAGGCAUUUAUAUUAAUAUGCUCUUACCUAAUAUAUUGUAAAUACUUCAAAAUCAGAAAGGGUACUACAUAGGCAUUAUAGAUGGUAGCUGAAUCUCACUCUUGAAUAAGAGUCACUACUACAUUCCUAAUUGCUCAAAAGCAGCACACCUGCUACCCAUUGCUAUCUGAGCUGUAGAUCCAGGAGACGUACUCCAUGGUGCAUUUUUUUCUCUAGGGCAGUGUAACCUACCUCCCCUGCUUGAGCCAAGACUUUUCACUGAUUUGAUUUGAAAUUGAAGAAAUUUAAUAAUUAAAAAUACAACAGGGUGUUGCUAAUAUAUUGGCAUUUCACUCCAAACUAACAUCAUUUUACCCAACCACUGUACAUAAAUAGCAGGGAGGGCAAGAAAGAAAUCUUAGAUUAGGCUACGAGUGGUUAUGACAACAGUUGCUCUGAGCAUGCUUCAGUAGGUAAAAACAACCAUCUCAAAGCAGUGCCAAUUCUGUUAGGUUCUUUGAUGGUCUGUGAUGCUGAGAGAUGCUAUAGUCCAGUGUAAAUGGAACUGUUUAGUCAUACAGGAAUAAACCUGGAUGAGCCUUGGUGUCACACAACGCUCCUCUUGCAGCACAGCCACAAGGAAAUGUGAAGCAUCUGCUUCCAUUUUUAAUAUCUGGUCUGUUGUUAUAUCCAUCAAGGACAAACUGCUUAAUCUCUGGUUUCUUAAAACAAGCCAGGGUCACACCAUGGUUUCUUAUCCUGGCUUGUUCCAAGAAACCGUAGUUUAACCACAGUUCCCAGGUCUGUCAUAACAAGAAACUCCAGUUAAUUUAAACCUGGAAGCCUUGCUUAUAAAGUCCUUUAUCAUAAGCUAAUAGCAUCUGCAGUUAAAGGGACACGGGUGGCGCUGUGGGUUAAACUACAGAGCCUAGGGCUUGCCGAUCAGAAGGUCAGCGGUUCGAAUCCCUGCGACGGGGUGAGCUCCUGUUGCUCGGUCCCUGCUCCUGCCAACCUAUCAGUUUGACAGCACGUCAAAGUGUAAGUAGAUAAAUAGGUACCGCUCCGGCGGGAAGGUAAACGGUGUUUCCAUGUGCUGCUCUGGUUUGCCAGAAGCGGCUUAGUCAUGCUGGCCACAUGACCCGGAAGCUGUACGCCGGCACCCUCGGCCAAUAAAGCGAGAUGAGCGCCGCAACUCCAGAGUCGGUCAUGUCUGGAACUAAUGGUCAGGGGUCCCUUUACCUUUUUAUCUGCAGUUAAUGGUGCAGUCACAGGCAGUAAUCCAACUUGACCAGAUUUAUAGAGCAAUUCUUUACGUGCUUAUUUGGGAAGUGCUUACCGGUGGUAUGCAACUAAGUUUUAUGAACCUAACUUAGAAUGUUCAUUAAUUUCAAUGAGUCUACCCUAAGCAAAACAUAGUUGAAUACCUUCCAGAAAGGAAGAAUAGUAUAAUAAACAUCUUUAUUAAUUUUCAGAAAACUUAAGUGACAAUAUGACCUCACAUAAACAUCAAAAUGAAAAUAUAAAUGAAAACAAUAAUGACAAUGAUAAUAACCCCCCAAUUUACAUUCAAACAUGUAAUUAACCCUCUGAUAUUGCAUAUCUCAGGUACGGGGAGAGCACAAAAGGAAAUCGGUAAGUACAACCGAGCAACUACAACAGAGCAAGCAGUAUCACAAUCAAGGUAACGGUAUGAUUAUUUUUCCUCUUCACAUGUUCAGCAGUCCAACAACAGAGUCUUGUAGAGAUUUUCACGACUGUAGACAAACCGUCAAAGUAUAGAACCCAGAGAUGAGUGUAUGCCAAAGGAGGGGAUGAUAAGAGUUCAUCUGUUUCAUAGUCGUCAUCAAAAGAUCUACAAAAAGGAAGAAAGAUAUUAAGAACGCAGAUGGUUUACAUGUUUGGUUAUAACUGAGGUCUUUUACUUGGAUCAUUUUUCAACUCUUCAGCAACAAGAAUUUCAUACUCCUCAGCAGCAUAUCUGUCCCAAUCAGAGGGUUCAGGACCAUCAUUCUCAACAUCCUAAAUAAAUAUGUGAGAAGGAAACAAGCAAAACUGAACAAACCAAGUCACUUUCACAAUAUACAUAUUUGCAAUGACUAGGAUGCCUUUGAACAAAUACACACACACACACACACACACACACACACACAGUCUCAGGGCAAUGACCAUUCACUUUCCAGGUAAACUGAAUGGAACCUCAUUGCAGUUGGGAAAUUCAAACUCUGAAGAGUACAACUACUAAAAACUAGAAAUAGAAAGGACAAACAAAUUAUUUUUCAUACGCUAUACGCGUACAUUUCUUUAUACACUUUUAACUUAAUGCCUCAGAACACUGGACUGAGGCAUUUCUUGUUUACAGUAGACCAUUGACUUCAGAAGGGAAAUAAAAGCGACAUAGUUCUCUUCUGUGAAACUGUAUAAACUUGUAAUUCAAGGUAGUUACAAAUUCUUCACCAAUAGUUGUUUUUUAAUCAGGUGAAUAAGGAUACAGGGGUUGCUAUAUGAAGGGAAAGGAUAAGUUAGCUACCUCUUGUUGUCCCUUCCAGUUCAAAGAGUUCUAAUAUCAUUAGCUAUUUAAGCCCGGAAAAGAGAUUCUUGUAUCCUACUUGAUGUUCUAAAUUUGUAGACACUAUAUAUCCCAUCUAAUAAUUGUCCCUGAAUUGGAUAAACUUGCCAAAGAUCACAUUCAAGAUAAGUGAUAACAGUCUAUGUUUCUGUUCCUCUGAAAUAUGUACUGAAGAAACUGUUACUGUUACAUAUAUAUUUUACCAUUUAUGUAUGCUGCUCAUUUAUCAGAAUCAUUUUAAGUGUUAAGGAAGAAUAAUGUGCAAUAGGCCAAUGUACAAAGGCCUCAUGACACCAAGCAAGCAGGGCUUUAAUCAUUUAAUUUCUGCUAAAGAUGCAGAAAUGUCUUGUCAUUACUUGUCCUAGUACCUGAUCAAAGAAUAAUAUAAUGGGAUAUUACACAACCUUUCCAGAUACUAAGCAAAUUUAAUCAGCUCUUCUCCCUCUUAUAUUUUCUGGGGUUACUAAGCAUACAUUUAGGAAAAUUUCUGUUCUAAAUACAUCGUUUUGACCACUGCCACCAUAUUUCCUAGUAAAUUCUUUUGGGAACUUCAUGAAAGUAUCCAUCUCUUGUUCCUUUCCAGAGUAGAACUCUCAGAGCAAUCACUAUUUUGGAACUGCUUUAUACCUUCUG